rnacentral:rRNA from 1 species
GUCCACGCCCUAAACGAUGAUUACUCGAUGUUAGCGAUACACAGCUAGCGUCCAAGCGAAAGCGUUAAGUAAUCCACCUGGGGAGUACGACCGCAAGGUUGAAACUCAAAGGAAUUGACGGGGUCCGCACAAGCGGUGGAGCAUGUGGUUUAAUUCGAUGAUACGCGAGGACCUUACCUGGGCUAGAAUGUGAAGGAAUGAUUCAGAAAUGGGUCAGUCAGCAAUGACCUGAACAAGGUGCUGCAUGGCUGUCGU